rnacentral:tRNA from 1 species
GCCCCCUUGGCGGAACUGGUAGACGCAAGGGACUUAAAAUCCCUCGAUCAUUAGAUCGUGCCGGUUCGAUUCCGGCAGGGGGCACCA